UCCCCUCGUCUCAUGUAACGAGAGAGAGAGAGAGAGAGAGAUGGCCCUUCAAGCAGUGGCAGGGCUGAGAUCCACCAUCGCGGCUUCGCGGGGGACCAAUCCACCCAGCCAUCCAGGCCUGCGCGGCCCCGCCGACCGCUACGCCCUCCGGUCAGCCGCCUUCUCUCCCUCCCUGCACCUCCUGCUGCCGCCACCGAGCCGAUGCCCCGCCACGGCGCCGAGGUUCUCCAUGCGCAUGGUGUCCAAGCAGGCCUACAUCUGCCGCGACUGCGGGUUUCCCUUCCUUCCUUCUGUUGCGUCUGUUCUCUCUAUAACGUUGAUGGCUAACAUACUCGUCUGCUUCGGUGCUUUCCAUGACAAUGUACUUGCAGCUAUAACUACAAUGACAGGACGCCAUUUGAGAAGCUGCCUGAUAAGUACUUCUGUCCCGGCGAGUUCAACCUUUUCAUCAGCACAUUCAAUUAGCGCCUGCAAACGGAGUUCAAUCAUUAAACCGAGUUCAGUAAUCAUCAAAAUGCUUGCUCAAGGAAUUUUCUACCACCUGCAGUUUGUGGUGCCCCUAAAAGAAGAUUCGGGCCUUACGAACCAGCCGUAGCCAAGAACUCUAAUGACACCGACGUCCGUCAAGCAAGGAAGGCACAGAUCAAGAGAGAUGAAGCUAUCGGGCGAGCAUUACCUGUUGCUGUUGUGCUUGGAGUUGCAGGAUUGGCUGGUCUUUACUUCUAUCUCAACAAUGUCUACUAGUCUGUCUAUGCAGGAGCAGCUCCUAGUUUGAGCCAGAAGCAAUUCACUGGAGAACUCCCGAACCUCUUUUUCCUGGUCCAAUUAGAGGUCCUGUGUUAUCGAAUCUCUUUACCUGCACAAAUGGUCAAAAGCAUUGUGCUUCUACAUUUAAGAUUUUGUUUGUCAAAACAGUGAGAUAAGGAAGUGAUGGUAAUAGUUGUUUUGUAAAGGCAAAACUGUUCAGAUGCAGCCAUGAAUCAGUAUAUAUUGUGAUACAGUGAAAGUAUACCUUCCCAGGAAUUAUAGAUGCACACUAUGUUCAUUGGCUUUUAUUGGCUUCAACAAACACUAUGUUCAGACAUGGUAGAUGCAUGCAGUGGAAACUGUAGCUGAAGAAAGCAUGAUACUAGCUGUAGCAUCAAGAUUCAACAGCAGCAUGAUACAGAAAGCAACAAUGCAGGACCAGAAGAGAGAAAGCUAUGAGAAAAAUAGGAGUAAUUUGUCUUCACCAAAUGACAUACAAGUUGCUUUGAUAAUUCAACUACACAUGUAUAUGAUGGAUAAGCAAAGAACUCUGAUUGGAACUCAUGCAGUAACAAAAUUUUGUUUUGAUUGAUACAAUACCUAGCUAUAAGUUGCUUUAAGUGAUACAACAAGUAUUUUUCUGAAAUCAAAAUAAAUAUAAGACAAGUGGCAUAGCAUCACUUGGCUAUUUUAUGCA